UUUCCGUAGGUGAACCUGCGGAAGGAUCAUUACAGAGACAUAGCCAUGUGGGGUAGAACUCCAAUCGUUCGGUUACAUAACCGUCGGAGAUUUGGGAGGCCUGACUGUUGGCUACAGGCUAAGGCGGGUCCGCGCAAGGCAGAAGAAGCAAAAACUUGGAUUUUAGGUGUGGGCGGAGAAGAAUAAUAAUAGGUGAAAACUAACAAAAAAGGAUCACUUAGUUCUGGCAUCGAUGAAGAAGGUAGAAGAUCGGAAAAGGACAUGUAUGAAAAUCAGUAU
rnacentral:misc_RNA from 1 species